rnacentral:rRNA from 1 species
GGGCCCGCACAAGCGGUGGAGUAUGUGGUUUAAUUCGAUGCAACGCGAAGAACCUUACCAGGGUUUGACAUCCUGCGAAUUUCUUGGAAACGAGAAAGUGCCUUCGGGAACGCAGUGACAGGUGGUGCAUGGCUGUCGUCAGCUCGUGUCGUGAGAUGUUGGGUUAAGUCCCGCAACGAGCGCAACCCACGUCUUUAGUUGCCAGCAUUAGUUGGGCACUCUAGAGAGACUGCCGGUGAUAAACCGGAGAAGGUGUGGAUGACGUCAAGUCAUCAUGCCCCUUACAUCUGGGCUACACACGUACUACAAUGCUACGGACAAAGGGCAGCAAGUUCGCGAGGACAAGCAAAUCCCAUAAACGUGGCUCAG